GUUGAAGGACAAGUUUCAUUACCACAACAAAAGUUUUAGCUUUAGAAUCAAUAGAACAUUAUGGCACAUUGCCAAUUGACUCUAAGGGUACCUGUAUCCGAAAUCGACACAGGUGGAUAGGUAGAGAAUACUUAGAGGUGUAAGACAACUCUCUCUAAGGAACUCGGCAAAAUAGCCCUGUAACUUUGGAAGAAGGGGUGCCUCUUUAUAAAGGGGGUCGUACUGAUUAGGCCCAAGCGUCUGUUUACCAAAAACACAAGUCUCUGCAAAGUCGUAAGACCAUGUAUGAGGGUUGACGCCUGUCUAGUGCCGGAAGGUCAAGGAAAUUCGUGACUUGAUGACAGGGGAGCUGGCGACCAAAGCCUCGAUGAACGGCCGCUGUAACUAUAACAAUCCUAAGGUAGCGAAAUUCCUUGUCGGGUAAGUUCCGACUCGCACAAAAGGCAUAACGAUCUGGGCACUGUCUCAAAGAUCACAACUCA
rfam:Gossypium arboreum cultivar AKA8401 contig_29906_1, whole genome shotgun sequence.